UACAGAGGUCUCAAGCGUUGUUCGGAUUCAUUGGGCGUAAAGGGUGCGUAGGUGGCGCUGUAAGUCGGGUGUGAAAUUUCGGAGCUUAACUCCGAAACUGCAUUCGAUACUGCGGUGCUUGAGGACUGGAGAGGAGACUGGAAUUCAUGGUGUAGCAGUGAAAUGCGCAGAUAUCAGGAAGAACACCUAUGGCGAAAGCAGCUCUCUGGGACGGUACUGACGCUGAGACGCGAAAGCGUGGGGAGCGAACAGG
rnacentral:rRNA from 1 species